AGGCGAUAGUCGAUGGCGAUCACCAGCACUUGCAGCGUGUUGGCCAGUUCGAAGCAGAUGAAGUCGUGGGAGUUCAGCCCGCCCACCGCCCA
rnacentral:tRNA from 1 species